rnacentral:piRNA from 1 species
CAGCCGAGUGGAAGUGCCCACGAG